AGCGAACGCUGGCGGCAGGCCUAACACAUGCAAGUCGAACGAACCUUUCGGGGUUAGUGGCGGACGGGUGAGUAACACGUGGGAACGUGCCUUUAGGUUCGGAAUAACUCAGGGAAACUUGUGCUAAUACCGAAUGUGCCCUUCGGGGGAAAGAUUUAUCGCCUUUAGAGCGGCCCGCGUCUGAUUAGCUAGUUGGUUGAGGUAAUGGCUCACCAAGACGACGAUCAGUAGCUGGUCUGAGAGGAUGAUCAGCCACAUUGGGACUGAGACACGGCCCAAACUCCUACGGGAGGCAGCAGUGGGGAAUCUUGCGCAAUGGGCGAAAGCCUGACGCAGCCAUGCCGCGUGAAUGAUGAAGGUCUUAGGAUUGUAAAAUUCUUUCACCGGGGACGAUAAUGACGGUACCCGGAGAAGAAGCCCCGGCUAACUUCGUG
rnacentral:rRNA from 1 species